CGAGGCCUUCUGGUGGAGAAAGAGGCAGUCUGGAUCACCGAAGGACUCCUGUGACGACACCUUAGGAAAGGGUUUGUGGAGAGUAGCAGUUGGAAGUUACAAAGGAAGAAGAGUUUGGCUGAAGUGCAGAGCAGCAAAGCGGAGAAUUAGCGAAUGUAGGUCUCCAAACCCCACGUUUUAUAGGGUUCAUAGUCUACGGGAAUGACUGUCAUUAACGCUCAGUCGUGACCUUAAAGCCUUAGAUUCACGCCCCGCCCCCCCCCCGCACACCCACCUCCCCUCCGCUGUUGACCGCAGGUGUCCUCACUUAGAGCCCUGGCAGGCAGUGUUGAUCCCCAGCCCUGGCUCUCCCGUCUGUGGCCAAGGCCACGCAGAGCCCCACCGGCUGCAGGGCCUAGUGCUGCCUGCUGUCAGGGUCGCUCAGGCGUCCAGCACAGGUACCGCAGGGCAGGUCAUCCCCAGCGUCUUCCCCUCCCACAGCCGUGCGGUGGCGACCACAGAGGCACCAGGGUGCUGGAGAACAAAGCAAGUAUCGAAGCACCGGCUCCUUGCAGAGCCAGGCGCGCUCUCACCUCCACCCAAGUUUAAAAGGUGGCAGUGGGUGAUCAGAAGACCAAUCAUUUUCCUGAACACCAUGAACAGUGCUCAUCUAAAUGACAGUAGUCUCCAGAAUUCUCAGUGAAGCCACAAACCCUAAGCACCAGGAUGCCAGAUGUCCCGAUUCUUUCUGCUAGUUCUGCACAAGGCCUGCCACUGUGUCAUACCAACACCCCUCAGGUUUCAGGAUCUUAGUUACCUGACGAGGGACUGAACCCAUGUCCCCUGCAAUGGAAGCGCAGAGUCCUAACUACUGGACCACCAGGGAAGUCCCUGCAUUAAUAUAAACUUAAAGAAACAUUAAUGUGAUAUAACAACAAAGCUAUCUGAAGAUGAUUAAAAUGUGAAAGUGAAUUAUUGUACUAAUUACAGUUAUGUCAUAUUACCUUCAGCAUUCAUUAAGUUAACUUCAAGUGUUUACAGACAACCUGAAGCUCACGGCCCAUCUGAAAACUACUUUCCUGGUUGGCUUUAGCCUCAAAGGAAUCCUAAGAGAACCAAGCAGAUACAUAGGGCUGGGUAGGCCCACAGUGCCAUUCUAGCUGAAGUAGAUGCCGCAGACAACUACUCCAACGCCACAAACUACAAGAAAUCAGGAAACAAAUGAUAUGUAACUGUGAAAAAUCAUUGCCAAGAUUCAAAAUCUAGCAGAAGAAAUAAAUGACGGUCAGAUUUCCAUGGCCAGAAAAUGUUAUCUUAUUUAAGCACAUAUACAUUUACAUUCCAUCUCGACUCUUCAGUCUCAAUCCAAUUCUUUGCAUUAAAUAGUACAGAGUAAGUCAGAGAAGAGUCCUUGAUUAAUUGAGAAAAUUACCCAAAGCAUAUUUGGGAUGCAAACUCAUAUGAGUAAUGAUCUUGAAACAACUU